CUACGGGCGGCUGCAGUGAGGAAUAUUGCACAAUGGGGGGAACCCUGAUGCAGCAACGCCGCGUGGAGGAUGACGCAUUUCGGUGUGUAAACUCCUUUUAUAUGUCAAGAAAAUGACGGUAGCAUAUGAAUAAGCAUCGGCUAACUCCGUGCCAGCAGGCCGCGGUAAUACGGAGGGUGCAAGCGUUACUCGGAAUCACUGGGCGUAAAGGACGCGUAGGCGGGUUGGAAAGUCAGGUGUGAAAUCCUACAGCUUAACUGUAGAACUGCACUUGAAACUUCUAAUCUAGAGUAUGGGAGGGGGAGAUGGAAUUAGUGGUGUAGGGGUAAAAUCCGUAGAUAUCACUAGGAAUACCUAAAGCGAAGGCGAUCUCCUGGAACAUUACUGACGCUAAGGCGUGAAAGCGUGGGGAGCAAACAGGAUUAGAUACCCUGGUAGUC
rnacentral:rRNA from 1 species